rnacentral:lncRNA from 1 species
AUGUAUAAGGGAUUCUUGACUGUGGCUGCCUUUGUUUAGUGGUGACCCUGGGUAUCUGGUUUUGUGCUCCAUUUCCCAAUUCCUGCUUACCUACUGUGGCCUGAGGCAGGGUGGGAAGCAGAAACAGACUGCUAAGGGCUGGAGGGUAUAUCUCAGAUCUGAUAUUACGUCAGCACUGGGCAGGUGGGCUCUGGGACUGGAGCCUUCUAAGCCUUCCUGCCCCUUCCCCUAGAUAGCUGAGCUUUUUCUGUACGAACUAAACGGAAUGCUGGACAUUGGAAAUAAUUCUACUCAAAAGCAUGAGUUGCCUUUUCUCAUUGUAUUUGCCUCUCAGAAGGUUUUCUUGUAGAUGGAUUUAUGGAAGUGACUUUCUUCUCUGGCCCGGCGAGAGAACUGCUUUCUGGUUUACAGAACUUGGGUGUAGUGAGAAUCCUCCCUUCCACCAGCACUGAAGAAGCACUUCCUCUGAAAGAAGAUUCUGGAAAUGUAGUGGAAGACCUUGCUACCUCACAUCUACCACCUUGUCUACCUCGUACCUCCUCGGGAGUGCCUGGUGGAGACAUGUGGAAAAGAGCUGGAAAGUGAGAAUAGAAUCCCAUUUAUCCACAGUAGCUCAACUAUAGUUAUUAAGGAGUUAUAAUACUGUUCACUGCUUCUGCCUGUGGUGUCUAUUUCUUCCCUCUUUGUCAAAGCCACUUUCAGGUGCCUUAGCCUCUUCCAGAUCCAAGCUUUCUGACUGACGUGUUUAAGAAAGUGAAAUAAAAGUUUGUAGACUACCC